rnacentral:rRNA from 1 species
UACGGAGGGGGCUAGCGUUGUUCGGAAUUACUGGGCGUAAAGCGCACGUAGGCGGCUUUGUAAGUUAGAGGUGAAAGCCCGGGGCUCAACCCCGGAAUUGCCUUUAAGACUGCAUCGCUAGAAUUGUGGAGAGGUAAGUGGAAUUCCCGGUGUAGUGGUGAAAUGCGUAGAUAUCGGGAGGAACACCAGUGGCGAAGGCGACUUCCUGGCCUGUUCUUGACGCUGAGGCGCGAAAGCUAGGGGAGCAAACGGG